rnacentral:sRNA from 1 species
AUCGCUUGUUCCUCUGGUUAUGGAGGUCCUGUAAAUACUCUGUUGUCAUGGUCACCGUUUGUAGCAUUGAGUCGCCUGACGUACAUGGCCUACCUCAUACAUCCAUGUUUGUUAAAUGUUUACUAUGGAAACCAAGAGUCUCUAUACAAUCUAAACGACACCAACACAGUGGUCACGUAUCUUGGCAUCCUACUUUUCACCUACGUGGCAUCGUUCGUACUCAUGCUUGGCUUGGAGUCACCCUGGAUCGGCCUGGAAAAAGUGUUCCUUAAAAACAGCAGACGUUAACUUGAACA